GAUGAAGAACGCAGCGAAAUGCGAUAAGUAAUGUGAUUUGCAGAAUUCAGUGAAUCAUCGAAUCUUUGAACGCAUCUUGCGCUCCUUGGUAUUCUGAGGAGCAUGCCUGUUUGAGUGUCAUUAAAUUCUCAACUACACUGACUUUGAAUUGGUGUGGCUUGGAUUUGGGGGGAAAAUUGUUGUGGGCUUUUUGUAUAGUCUGCUCCCCUGAAAUUGAUUAGCGGUACCUUUGUGGAACUGUCUACAGGUGUGAUAAUUAUCUACAUCUUAGACAUCUGCUGGAAUGCUGCUUUCUAAACCUUACUUGUAUUGACAAUCUUGACCUCAAAUCAGGUAGGACUACCCGCUGAACUUAAGCAUAUCAAUAAGCGGAGGA
rnacentral:misc_RNA from 1 species